rnacentral:rRNA from 1 species
UACGGAGGGUGCAAGCGUUAAUCGGAAUUACUGGGCGUAAAGCGCGCGUAGGCGGUUUGUUAAGUCGGAUGUGAAAUCCCCGAGCUCAACUUGGGAACUGCAUCCGAUACUGGCUUGCUAGAGUGUGGUAGAGGGAAGUGGAAUUCCAGGUGUAGCGGUGAAAUGCGUAGAUAUCUGGAGGAACACCCGUGGCGAAGGCGGCUCUCUGGUCCGAAACUGACGCUGAGGUGCGAAAGCUAGGGUAGCAAACAGGAUUAGAAACCCCAGUAGU